rnacentral:lncRNA from 1 species
UUGCCUAGCACUGCCCAAGGAGGGGGCAGUGGUCUUUGGAGGCAGGAGAUUACUCUAGACAAAGGUCUGUGGGGGAGACAGAAGGAGUUUACCAGAGAAGAUCCCUGUUCUCCUGGAACUACUAAGGGAGCAGAUGGAGUAAAUGAGCAAUGACUUGGGCAAAGUCACAGAUGCCAUAUUUGCCAAAAUGGUUGAAGACACAACAUGGGGAUUGACAGAAUUUGGAUUCAACAAAGAUCUUGAAAGGUUAGAAUGAUGGAUGAAUUUAAGAAAAUAAAUGAAGUCUUCCAU